rnacentral:rRNA from 1 species
AGUGAACGCUGGCGGCAGGCCUAAUACAUGCAAGUCGAACGGCAGCACAGCAGAGCUUGCUCUGUGGGUGGCGAGUGGCGGACGGGUGAGGAAUACAUGGGAAUCUGCCCAGUCGUGGGGGAUAACGUAUGGAAACGUACGCUAAUACCGCAUGCGCCCUACGGGGGAAAGCCGGGGACCGCAAGGCCUGGCGCGAUUGGAUGAGCCCAUGUUCGAUUAGCUAGUUGGCGGGGUAAAGGCCCACCAAGGCGACGAUCGAUAGCUGGUCUGAGAGGAUGAUCAGCCACACUGGAACUGAGACACGGUCCAGACUCCUACGGGAGGCAGCAGUAGGGAAUAUUGGACAAUGGGGGCAACCCUGAUCCAGCCAUGCCGCGUGAGUGAAGAAGGCCCUCGGGUUGUAAAGCUCUUUUGUCCGGAAAGAAAGCAAUCGGUUAAUACCCGGU